UACGUAGGGUGCAAGCGUUAUCCGGAAUUAUUGGGCGUAAAGAGCUCGUAGGCGGUUUGUCACGUCUGCUGUGAAAACUGGAGGCUCAACCUCCAGCCUGCAGUGGGUACGGGCAGACUAGAGUGCGGUAGGGGAGAUUGGAAUUCCUGGUGUAGCGGUGGAAUGCGCAGAUAUCAGGAGGAACACCGAUGGCGAAGGCAGAUCUCUGGGCCGUAACUGACGCUGAGACGCGAAAGCGUGGGGAGCGAACAGG
rnacentral:rRNA from 1 species